rnacentral:rRNA from 1 species
CCUACGGGAGGCAGCAGUGAGGAAUAUUGGUCAAUGGGCGCGAGCCUGAACCAGCCAAGUAGCGUGAGGGAUGACGGCCCUACGGGUUGUAAACUUCUUUUGUAAAGGAAUAAAGUGAGGGACGGGUGCCGUUUUGUGAGUACUUUAUGAAUAAGGAUCGGCUAACUCCGUGCCAGCAGCCGCGGUAAUACGGAGGAUCCGAGCGUUAUCCGGAGUUAUUGGGUUUAAAGGGAGCGUAGACGGGGGGUUAAGGCAGUUGUGAAAGUUUGGGGCUCAACCGUAAAACUGCCAUUGAUACUGGCAGGCUUGAGUGCCGUAGAGGUAGGCGGAAUUCGUGGUGUAGCGGUGAAAUGCGUAGAUAUUACGAAGAACUCCGAUCGCGAAGGCAGCCUACUGGACUGCCACUGACGUUGAUGCUCGAAAGCGUGGGUAUCAAACAGGAUUAGAUACCCCUGUAGUC